rnacentral:rRNA from 1 species
AACGAACGCUGGCGGCAUGCCUAACACAUGCAAGUCGAACGAGACCUUCGGGUCUAGUGGCGCACGGGUGCGUAACGCGUGGGAACCUGCCCUUAGGUUCGGAAUAACUCCCCGAAAGGGGUGCUAAUACCGGAUAAUGUCUUCGGACCAAAGAUUUAUCGCCUUUGGAUGGGCCCGCGUUGGAUUAGCUAGUUGGUAGGGUAAAAGCCUACCAAGGCGACGAUCCAUAGCUGGUCUGAGAGGAUGAUCAGCCACACUGGGACUGAGACACGGCCCAGACUCUUCGGGGAGGCAGCGGGGGGGAUUUUUGAACAAUGGGGAAAAGCUUGACCCAGCAAUGCCGGGUGAGUGUUGAAGCCCUGGGGGUUGAAAAUCUUUUUUCCCCGGUAUGAUAAUGACAGACCCGGAAAAAUAAGCCCGGCCUACCCCCGUG